AUGAGGGGGCUAUUUAAGGGCAGCUGGGGGGACGAAGUUUCCAUUCUGUUGUUGGGACGACACUGCUGUUCCUUCUGAAGGCACCAUGAAGCUCACCAUCGCCAUCACCAUCUGCGCUCUACUUUACUUCUUUGGUCCUGCUUUAGGCCAGAAUACCAAUAGCGGAGGUUUCCAAAACAGCGGAAGCAUGAAUAUGGGUCGACUGAGGCGUGACAAUUCGAACAGCGGAAAUUUCGGAAACAGCGGAAGCAUGAAUAUGGGUCGACUGAGGCGUGACAAUACCAAUAGCGGAAAUUUCGGAAACAGCGGAAGCAUGAAUAUGGGUCGACUGAGGCGUGACAAUUCGAAUAGCGGAAAUUUCGGAAACAGCGGAAGUAUGAAUAUGGGUUGACUGAGGCCUACCUCUACCAACUGGAAAUGCAGGAUUGCUGAUGACGGGGAGCAGAGCUGCAGAGCUACGGUCCACAGUUGGUCCACAGUUGGUCAGGAAGACUCCAGAGUCACUUUGACACAAUAAAGAAUUUCAGCAUCA